rnacentral:lncRNA from 1 species
GUGGAUUUUCAGCCGACACGCUUUGUCGUACUGCUUGUUACAGCCUGGGAACGAGCAAGAGAACUGCUCCUGCUCCCUGAAGUGGGCCCGAUUGUGGGAGAACAGCGCGCUCACUGUGAUGAACGUCCUUUCACAGCCGGGGAAGUCGCAGCGGUAGGGCCGCUCGGGCUCCAGGUGGCUGCGGCGGCGGUGGGCGGCGAGGCGGGCGGCGCUGGGGAAGCGCUGCCCGCACGCCUCGCACUUGUGCGCCGCCUCCUGCUCGUGGGCGCGGCUGUGGGCCCGCAGGUUGUAGACGGUGGUAAAGCGCUUGGAGCAGCCGGGCGCGGCGCAGGCGAAGGGCCGCAGUUUGUCGUGCGAGUGCAGCUCUGUUCUGGCUCUCCAGUUUUAAGCAGAAGGAAGAACUAACCCAUGCUUGUGGUGGAAAUCAGGCUGUGGGCCCUUCGAGCGCUCCCAGCAGAUGGUGCUGUGAUCCUUCCGGCGGGCAAAUUACUUCCCCAGAGCUAUUCUGCACCAAAUCUCUGACAGCAAAGCAAGGCGAGCUGCUGUCCAGCCCCAGGUGGCUGCUGGUGCUUCCUGCAGUACAGCUGUGUGUACACACGGAGCUCCUCGCUGCGGCUUCAGAGCUGUCUGUGCAGCCUGAGUGCUUGAGCUCAGCCUCCCCUGAAAUCCCCCUGAGCCGUCACAGGGCCCGGGUCAGCCCUGCUGGUGGCUGCCGCUGGCCCUCCUGGUCUCACUGCAGAGGUGUGUGCAGUGCACUCUUCCUUCACUUCCUUCCUUUUCCUAGGAGGAAAAUGGCCUUAAGUUGCACCAGGGGAGGUUCAGGUUGGACGUUAGGGAACAAACUUUCUUCUCUGAAAGAGUGGUGAUUCACUGGCCUGCGUGGAAGAAAGGCCUGCAUGGGCCUUUAGUGUUCAACCCAGAGGUGCGUCCCUGAUGGGAGGAUGUCAAAUCAACUUGUAGCAAGCGUCAAACCUCACUACAGAAAUUAAUCUCCUCUGCUAUCUACUGUCUGGUCUGAUACAGUGACUGCAGAUGUGUGUUUUGAAGGAGACUGCUCUGCCUGUAUUGAGCUUUUCCAGCACUGAGGUCAUCUGCCUAGAAAUGAUAUCAGCGUCCCCACAGAGUGAGGCAGAACAACUGUCCAUUCAUAGACCCAGUUUCUCUGCAAACAGCACAAAAACAAGGAGGCUCAGCAGAGCUCGGGGGGUUUUUGCCCUGGCCUGGCCUAUGGCUUCUGUGUGCUGGAAAUCUGCUGCUUCAUCCCAGCAGGGGGUGACAGGUUACUGUUAUCUCAGUGCUAAAUAACACAAAGGUGUACAAUCCGUAAUAAUAUUUCUUCAACAUUUUCUGUGGUAGAUUUUUCAACUCAGAAUUAAGAUGACUACUUUCCUAUACUUCCAUAGUACAGAAAGCCAUUAUAUUUCCUGGAUGUUCCCUAUGACAAAAGGUGCCCCAGUUCUUUCGGGCUACAACAGCUAGAAUGGUUGUAUGAGAUACAGCUACCAAGAUACCAACCCAGUGUGAUUAUUAACAGGUAAUGCCUAACAUGUGUUAAAGAAAGGCUGUCAAAUCUGGCUGGCAACUACUCACAUCUCAGUGGUGUAACUUGUCAAUGUGUGCUUUUUUCCACCGUGUAAAGCAAUUCUGGUGAACUGCAAAAUGCACUUCACAGAAGGUUUGGUUGCAAGCAGAUGCCAGCCUCUCACUGUUGAUCUGGAGAUGUAUGCUGUAUGUGAACAGAGUAAAGAACUUAUUUCUGAAAGUAAAUUAAAAAAAAACCUCAGCACACCAGGUUUACUGUUUUCUUUAACUGGCACCAGAAGCAAUGCAUGGAUGCAGCAAGUGCACAUUUUAAGAGCCUGUGGCAUUUUGGUACUGAAUGUUAUUUGGUUUCUUGAGAUCCUGCAGUCCAAAGUUCAUCACUCCUCACCUGCAGCAGCCAGAGCAGGUCUCCGUGAAUAAGCUCCCUGCCUAUCACAGAAUGCAUCAGUGAGUUACUGUUAACACAUAUAUAAUGGGAGGCUGAAGUGCAAAACAAGACAUUUCUCUCAGUUGCAUUUAGACAGCUCGAUUUAUUUUUUAAUUUUAUUUCAAUGGACAAAAUUUCAGCUCCUUUCCUUACCAGUGAAAAGGCUGCUCCUGCCAUCAGUGGACCUGUCACGGGCAGACACAGAUCUGCCCUAUUAAUGAGUUAAAAGGAAUAAACUCACGUGGCAGAGACAAUUGCAAGGCUUUUAUCGUUAGCACAUUUUUUCAUACGUUUCUGCCAGGAUAACACUGCAGUUGGAAUACCACUAACUUUUGAGGGCUUGUUCUAAGAUGUUCUCAUCCACCACUUUUUGAGGAAGAGUCACCUUCAGUGCAGCAUUGUCUUUCAUUGCUUGGCAGAUCGUUUCGUAUGCAUAGUCAUUACCCGACCAGCAGCGCCUGGCAACUCCAUUGGAAACAUCCCAGCUGAGCAUCAUCUUAGCUCGUUCUUCGGCCUCCGUGGACCCAUCCAAAACCA